rnacentral:rRNA from 1 species
UACGAAGGGGGCUAGCGUUGCUCGGAAUCACUGGGCGUAAAGGGUGCGUAGGCGGGUUUUUAAGUCAGAGGGGAAAUCCUGGAGCUCAACUCCAGAACUGCCUUUGAUACUGGGAAUCUUGAGUAUGGAAGAGGUGAGUGGAACUGCGAGUGUAGAGGUGAAAUUCGUAGAUAUUCGCAAGAACACCAGUGGCGAAGGCGGCUCACUGGUCCAUAACUGACGCUGAGGCACGAAAGCGUGGGGAGCAAACAGG